rnacentral:lncRNA from 1 species
CAAAAUCUUCUUUUCAUUCCAUUUGCGAAAUAUACACCACAAAGCCCAGAAGGCCAAAGGAAGAAAAGCAAAACGACAAAAGCGGGACAAAACAAUAAAAAGAAAAAUGUAUACAUGAAAAGACAGAAGGACAAAAAGAGCCCUAGGGAAGCUCUGCUCCUUCCGACCUAGAAUUAUCUGCUCCACCCCUCAUCCAGGACUGCCUUAGAUUCUCAAUUUCUUCUUCUAGCUCUCUCCUUUUCAGCAGCGCAUCCUGGAGCACCCGACGAAGUCGCUGGCUCUCGGUCUCCGCCUCUCGACGCCUCUUUCUCAGGACCUCAGAUUCUGCCUCCACGUCCGUGACGGCCUGCUGCUCGUAUGCCAGCUGGAUCUUCAAUUGCUGUAGCUCAGUCAUCCUUUCUUCAAGGGCGGCAGAAAGCCCUUCGACGGUUCCUCUCAGGGACUGGAGUUCAUUGGAAUCCCGGGCAGAAGUCAGCUGAGCCCUGUUAGCCAGCUACCUCUGAAGACGGGUGACUUCGUCGGUCGCCACCCUGAGUCUCCCUUUAUAUUCCUCUAUCUGCCUGUGCCAACCGGCCCGAUGCACGUCGUAGCUCACCUCGGCGUCCUGAAGCUGCUGCUGAAGGUCGGAGACCUUCUUCGACCACUCCCAUCACCGUCGGCCCGAGCCAAGAGCCGGGAUGAACUUCCUCCCAGCUGGCUGAUUUU